rnacentral:lncRNA from 10 species
AUAAUCGAAGGGCUUCCAGCGUAGGGCGUAGGGGGAGAGGCCCGAAGCCCUGGAGACAGCGCCCGAGGGAUGGAGGCCGCGCUCGGCUGCGCUCAGGUCCGGGUGGCUCCGGGAGCUGAGACCCCGCAGGAUGCAGCGGGGGGGGGCCAGGGCCUGAUCCCCUACCCCUGCGAGCCAGGGCCGCCUACGCCCCCACUGCUUCCCACAGGCUACUAGACGCAACAAUAGAAUUACCAUAUUGUUUUUCCUGGUUUGAAAGGACCAGAUGGAAAGAAACUGGGCAAGCCAAUGAAAGUCUCUGGGGAUCAUGGGAAUUGAGUGUCUAUGAAAACCAUAUUCCAGACAAGAAUAUAGUCUAAGGACACAGCAAGAGGCAACAUUUUGGAAGCAGAGGGCAACUCUCACUGGAAACCAAAUCUCCUGGCACCUUGAUCUUGGAUUUUACAGCCUCCAGAACUGAUAGCUGGGAGGCAUUACAUAGUCAUGUGCGAGGUCAAAACUGAGUCACCACCACAACCAAGUUCCAGCUGGCAAGAAGAGGAAAAAUAACACAGAGGAGUUAUGACCAGUGUUGUAAGGAUCUGGCCUAGAAAUGGCAUGCAUCUCUUCCACUAAUAUCCUAUUGGUAAAAAUGUAGUCACAUGGGCACACCACCUAUCUGCAUGGAAGGCUGGGAAAUGUUGAUCGGUAGGGCAGCCAUAUGUGUAGGAAGGAGAAAACAGAAUUUGGUGGAUACCUAGUAGUCUCUGCCAUACCCUUGACCAGAAAUUUUUCUUCUAAAGAAUUUAAUUCUAAAAGUUAUAGACAUUCCCAAAGAUAUACCUGCAAGCAUCACAGCUUUGUGUAUAAUUGCAAAAGUUGAAAUCAACAUGAAUGCCCAAAAUAGUGAAUUAUUUAAACAGAUUAUUACCCAUAUUAUGAAGAAAUACUCUGCAACUCUUAAAAAUAAAUGUAAUGUGCCAGGCGCAAUGGGAUAUGCCUGCAGGCCCAGCUACACGGGAGGCCAAGGCAGGAGGAUCACUUGAAAUCAAGAGUUCAAGUCUAGCCUAGACAACAUAGUGAGACUUGGUCUCUAAAAAAGAAAAAAAAAAAUAAAACUGAUGUAAUGAAUAUAUAAUUACAACAAAAGAGGUCUAACACUAUAGUAGAAAAGUUUGGGGCACUCAUCCCAUUCAUAAUUAUUUUACAUUUAAAUUACUGUUCCUACUUAAGUGGUGAGCUUGGUAACCAUUUUCAUAUCAGGUGAUACUGCUGCAGUAAUCAUAGCUGUUUGAAUCAGGAAUAAUCCCAAUCACAUUUUCUCUUAAUCGUUUAUUAUACUGGGCAUUGGGGUUGCAAGAUAAUGCACAGUCCGAGCUCAAUACAUGUCUUCAUGUACCUGUAUGUAAAUCCCACUUUUAUUCUAAAAUUCUUUGAAUAUUUUGUUUCUUGGAACCCAAUGAUCCUAAGAAAAUUAUGUACUUUUACCUGAAAAUUAAAACCAAUAUUUAUAAAAAGUGUAUAUGCAGUAUGAUACCACUUUUAAAAAAAGAUAAAUUUAUAGAAAAAAGUUUAUAUGACUGACAACAAUGUCUCUGAGUGGUAGGAUUACAGUUAAUUUUUAUUUUCUUCAUUCUACUUAUCUUUAUUUUCUGAACUUUCUACAAUGAACAUGUUUUAUUUUUACUUUUGUUAAAAUAAAUAACAUUUAAUUUGACGGAAAAUUCUAAAAAUCAACAUUUGGUAACUUAAAUAUUCAUUGGCACAUGAUUCUGUGCCUGUUUCUGGGGGUCAUUCCCAUGAGAAGAGCAGGUAGAACUUAUGAGAAUAGAGCAGUCGAAAUAUUAUAGGUUUCAUAUUUUACGGCUUUAUUGAAAACAUUGAUAUAUUGAAUAUUCAUAAAUUUUAAUUUAACUUUCUUUUAUAAUCCUUAAUGUGAGGCUAAGGUAUAAGGAGAAAGGAGAUUGGUAAGGAAGUGUGAUACAUAUUGAAUCAGGUGUCAAGGUACCAUUUGUGCCUGGAUCUGACCAAUAGACCAAGGUAAAAAUCUCAAAGAAUGAGACUUGUAAUGAGAAUGCCACAAACUUGAAUACCUUAUGCACAAAACACAAACAUUGUUAUGCAUAAUGUACAUGAACCCUGAAACAAAGAUAAUGAUUUGGACCACCCAACUGAAGUGGCAUGUUAUGUUUUUGGCAUGAACAAAAGAAACAAGAGAGAAAAAAAUCAAAAUAAUUAAAAUAAAUUGUUAGAGAAAAGUUACUUUAAAAAUAGCUAUAACGCUUUGCAAUUUCAGUAACAGUUCUGCCUCUGAUGCAAUGUAAAACAUGUAUUAGACAUUCAGGCUCCACAAUAAAUUUUAAUGAGCACUACAAAUUUAGAAUAUAUAAAAAUAUCAGUAACCUAUGAAUUCAUCAACAUAACUCACUUUUCAGUUAAGUUAGGCUGAGUUGAAAUUCUACUAAGUUUUCCCAUAUUCUUGAUAAAGGCUAAAUUUGAAAUAAUUUAUUUAGAUGACUAAUUGGCAAUUUGAUAGUAGUUACAUUUUAUGUAACACUUGAUAUAAUAACCCAAAUUAAUUAGCUCAAUAUUAUCUUCUGUGGUUUAUUGAUCCAAAAGUACAUAUUUGUUAUGUAAACUUAUACUAUGUAAACUUGAAUUAGUUUUUUGCUUCCUUGAAUUAAUAAAGCCCAUUAAUGCAAAUCUAAGCCUUCAUAGACUUUUCCAAUCCUUAGUUAAAUAUUAAAAACUGAGUAUUGUAGUUAUUUGCUAGGUAUAAAAGGUGACUCAGAGUAGAGAGUAAGAUGUCAGCAAAUAGACAAUAAGAUGUCAGCAAAAGUGCCUCAAAUUUUAACUGCGUCAAGUUAAGGGCAUUGUAAAUACUGUAGUUUUAUGUAGCUUGCAACUUCUACUGAAAUGAGUUUAAUCAUGUCUUUCACAUAGCUGAAGUUUGUGUCAAGAUUUAAGCUGAUUUUCUCAUUCUUAUCAAAGUCUCACCUGGGGGUAGGGAGGGGUAGGCCUACCUCCCACCUCUAUACUAUCAUUUUAGGAACAGACAGGCAUAAAUCUGUUCAUAUGGUAGAACACAUGAUGUUAGAGUAUAUUUUGUUGAAUGCUAUGGAAUAUUAAUAUAAUUAAUUCUAAAAUAUCACCUAAAAUAUGUCAACUGAAGAUCUGACUGUACUAAAUAUGAAAAAUAAAGCAGCACAUACUUUCUCUACUGUUUUCCUGGCCAUUCAUUGUCACAAGGCUUAGCCAGUCCCUGACACCCAAUACGCUACCAAUAAGCCAC